UACGUAGGGUGCGAGCGUUGUCCGGAAUUACUGGGCGUAAAGAGCUCGUAGGUGGUUUGUCGCGUUGUUCGUGAAAACCGGGGGCUUAACCCUCGGCGUGCGGGCGAUACGGGCAGACUUGAGUACUGCAGGGGAGACUGGAAUUCCUGGUGUAGCGGUGGAAUGCGCAGAUAUCAGGAGGAACACCAAUAGCGAAGGCAGCUCGCUGGGACGUGACUGACACUAAGGCGCGAAAGCGUGGGGAGCGAACAGG
rnacentral:rRNA from 1 species